rnacentral:rRNA from 1 species
GACGAACUGUGCAAACGUUAUUCGGAAUCACUGGGCUUGAAGAGUGCGUAGGCGGUUUUGUAAGUAGGGUGUGAAAGCCCCCGGCUCAACCGGGGAAUUGCGCCCUAAACUGCAAGGCUGGAGUGAGGUAGGGGUGUGUGGAACUUCCAGUGGAGCGGUGAAAUGUGUUGAUAUUGGAAGGAACGCCGGUGGCGAAAGCGACACACUGGACCUUGUCUGACGCUGAGGCACGAAAGCCAGGGGAGCAAACGGGAUUAGAUACCCCGGUAGUCCUGGCCGUAAACUAUGAGUACUAGUGGGGAGGAUCGCAAGGUCUUCCUCACGGAGCGAAAGUUUUAAGUACUCCGCCUGGGGAGUAUGGUCGCAAGGCUG